GCCAGCAUGGUGUAGUGGUUUGAACAUUGGACUAUGACUCUGGAGGCCAGGGUUUGAAUCACAGGUCAGCCA